AGAGAAGAGGGCGCUCAGUUGAGAAAAUGCCUCCAUAAGAUCCAUGAGAUUGAGCUGUGGGGCAUUGAUGAGAGGGUCCACCCCAUUGUGAGUGGGGCCACACCUGGAUUGGAGGUCCUGGAUUCUGUAUGAAAGCAGGCUGAACAAGCCGGCCACUGUCUCUAGGUUCCUGUCCUGUUUGGGUUCCUGUACUGACUUCCGUUGAUGAUGAGCAGUGCUGUGAAAGUAGAAACUCCCAAAGAAGAAUUUCAGAAGAUAAUUUUCACCUUUCCCUUUUUGUCACCCUGGACUGGCUUUUUAAAGAAUUUGGAGCUCUUCUGUUUAUGAUCAGUUGAGCAUCCCUGAUCCAUUUCUUCCUCUGCUGAAGUCCCCUCCCAGGUUUUGGCACUCUACAGCAUGCAUGAGAAGUUACUAUGCUUGUAGUCUUCAACUUGCUUGGCUAGAGCCACACCAAGAUUAAUCUUUUCUCCAUCAAGAGUCCAUGUUCCCAGUGGAGGGAACUUGCCAGAAAGAUGGUAGUGCAUUUAGGAGGUGAUGCAUCACUUUGUCACUUGAAGAAAAUCACAGAUACAUUUGCUCCCACAGAAGACAGCAUCAUGCUACAAAGGUGUCAGCCGAGGAUAGUGUAACUCUCUGCCAGAAACCGUCUGUCACCUUGACUAUGAACUUGGAGGAAAUGAUGCAUCAUGGCCAACCCCACCAGCCACUUUGGUGCCAUAAUCAGUUGUCAGUUGGUGGGCAAUUUUGCCAUAAGCUUAGCUCUAUGUUGAGUAGUGACAAUAUCAGUGUUAUCUCUCUGUCAAUACCGGGUCGUGAAUUUGGCCCCAAUCCUGGAUUCAUAGUCCCUGAGUCUUGUUCUCCAGCCUUCUGGGAACUAUACAAAGUUUAUUUUAAAAUAAAGUUUUCUACUUAAACCUAUUUCCUUGGUUUGUAACUGAAACACUGACUGCCUUGUCCAGCAAGACCUUUUCUCUGAUCUCAUUGCAUUUUACAACAGUCUGUUACGCGAAUAUUUCAUCACAUCAUGGCUCUGUCGCUUAUCUGUUCCUCUGGGUAUAUUAAUCAUCUUAAAGCCAUAAUAAUUGCUUUCUUUAUGCCCCCCCCCACAUCUAACAAACUUUGUGGUAAAAGUAAUAACUCAUAAAGAGUCUGCUUAUUUUGUAUGAAGGAACUGUUUAAGGAAUAACUAAAUAAUUGUCUUUUUGAAGUAAUUUUUUAUUACAUUAUAGUUUUUUUUUCUUUGUAAGACAAUGCCACUACUGGAACUUGCUAAUUUAGAGUACUUUCUAAAGAUGCUCUUUUGAGUGGCCGAAUAGUCCUCUCCUCAGUCUCAGAAUCAACAAUUUUAUUAGUAGUGAGAUAUAAAUGAUCCCAGCAUCCUAGCAUCUUCCCAGGUAUCCCAGUCCCAGUUGCUUUACUCACGAAUCCAAUCAUCAGGAGACAGGAUGUGC